AGUGACCAGGAAGAGAAGGCAUCAGAUGCCAGCUCUGAAAAACUCUUCAACACUGUUAUUGUAAACAAAGAUCCGGAGUUAGGUGUUGGCACGCUACCAGAACAUGACAGCCAGGAUGCAGGGCCGAUUGUCCCCAAGAUAUCAGGUCUAGAGAGAAGCCAGGAGAAGAGCCAGGACUGUUGCAAAGAGCCAGUCUUUGAGCCUGUGGUGCUUAAAGACCCCUGCCCUCAGGUCGCACAGCCAAUACCCCAGCCCCAGACGGAGCCCCAACUCCGAGCUCCUUCUCCGGACCCUGACUUGGUGCAGCGCACAGAAGCCCCACCUCAACCCCCACCUCUGAGUACACAGCCACCGCAGGGCCCUCCUGAGGCCCAGCUCCAGCCUGCCCCGCAGCCUCAGGUGCAGAGGCCACCCAGGCCACAGUCCCCCACCCAGCUGCUCCAUCAGAACCUCCCACCUGUGCAGGCCCACCCCUCUGCUCAGAGCCUCUCCCAGCCAUUGUCAGCCUACAACAGCAGUAGCUUAAGCCUCAACAGUUUAAGCAGCAGCAGAAGCAGCACUCCAGCGAAGACUCAGCCCGCCCC
rnacentral:lncRNA from 1 species